AUCGUAACAAGGUCUCCGUUGGUGAACCAGCGGAGGGAUCAUUACCGAGUUAUACAACUCAUCAACCCUGUGAACAUACCUAAACGUUGCCUCGGCGGGAACAGACGGCCCCGUGAAACGGGCCGCCCCCGCCAGAGGACCCCCUAACUCUGUUUCUAUAAUGUUUCUUCUGAGUAAAACAAGCAAAUAAAUUAAAACUUUCAACAACGGAUCUCUUGGCUCUGGCAUCGAUGAAGAACGCAGCGAAAUGCGAUAAGUAAUGUGAAUUGCAGAAUUCAGUGAAUCAUCGAAUCUUUGAACGCACAUUGCGCCCGCCAGUAUUCUGGCGGGCAUGCCUGUUCGAGCGUCAUUACAACCCUCAGGCCCCCGGGCCUGGCGUUGGGGAUCGGCGGAGCCCCCCGUGGGCACACGCCGUCCCCCAAAUACAGUGGCGGUCCCGCCGCAGCUUCCAUCGCGUAGUAGCUAACACCUCGCGACUGGAGAGCGGCGCGGCCACGCCGUAAAACACCCCAACUCUUCUGAAGUU
rnacentral:rRNA from 1 species